CCAGCCGUAAACGAUGGAUACUAGGUGUUGGCGGUUCAGACCGUCAGUGCCGAAGCAAACGUGAUAAGUAUCCCGCCUGGGGAGUACGGUCGCAAGACUGAAACUCAAAGGAAUUGACGGGGGCCCGCACAAGCGGUGGAGCAUGUGGUUUAAUUCGAAGCAACGCGAAGAACCUUACCAGGGCUUGACAUCCCUUGAUAGCUGUAGAGAUACAGUAUCUCCUUUGGAGCAAGGAGACAGGUGG
rnacentral:rRNA from 1 species